UCUUUAAAGUACCAUUUAGAAAAAUUGAGCUUUCAGAAAAGUUGAUACACAUUAAAAUUUGGAGCAAGUUAAUUAAGAAAAAAAAAGUUAUCUACAGAAUAGAAUAAAGAAAAAAAAUAAAUAAACAUGUUAGUAAAUCCAAUAGCUCCUUCGCUACGCUAGGAACCUAAAAAAGAAAUUCAAAAUACAUAAUUAAAUACUAUUUAGAAAGGAUGGAAUACUAACGAGAUACUAACAAUUAGAUAAAUUGGAUAAAAAUUUCAAAUUUUAAUAUUGGGGGGAGGGGGAAAUGUUAGUGUUUGAAAAAUUAUUCAUGUUUUGAAGUUCUGAGUUAAACAGACAAUAUUCUAGUGUAUAUUUGACAUCUUGUACAAAUUAACAUAUAUUAUGUACAUAGCACAUGAGUCGUACAUUAAAAUCUAGA